AAGAAUAUCGAUAUUCUCGAUUAAUAUCGACAACGUUACACCCCUACCGUAAAAAGUAAAUAAAUAAUCUUUGAACAGUGAAAAGUAAAAAAUCCUCAGCAGUAAAUCUAUGCCUACAUAAUUGUAACAAUCUAACGUUAUGAAUUAUUAGUAAUAAGUAUUGCCAAAAAUCAGUUUAUGCACGUUCUAAAGUGGCAAUUAUUGAAAACUUCAUAGAAAAACAAAAAAACUCACAAGAAACGACAAGCAGGUGUGAAGGCUGACAGGAAAAAGAGAAAAACAAAAUCAUCUGAAAAAAAAACUGAGAAUGUUAGAGCAUUUGCAAUCACAAAAGCAAACGAUUCCAACAUAAGGAAGAUAUUUUUUAACUGAAAAACAGCUUAUUCCCCGAUAGAUAAAACACCGGAAGAACCUGCUCUGUUUUGAUCGCCGUCGUUAGGCCUCGUUGAAAAAUUUGAUAAAGAAAUCACAAAAUUAGGUCUUGCUCGGCCUUUAACACACUUAGUAUACUGUACACCCGUUCUCGAUCGCGUUGCAGCUUAUAUUAACUAACCAUGUCUUGACAGCACGGGCAGUAGCAGAUACAAAAUUUUCAUCCAAAAUUAGGUAGAAAAAAUCCUUUCGAGCAGCAAAAACUGUUGAUGAAAGAGAUCGAAGGAAACUACCAAUUUCAUUGGUAAAUACUACCUAAAACAUUUCACUCAGAAAAAGGUAUGCCGUAUUUAUCCUUCAUGUAGGUAAUUUCUACCAAUUUCGCUAGUUCGAAAUUACUCAUAAUCGAUGUUGGCUUAGGCGAACUCAGAAACUGGUAGUCUUUGUACUCAUAAUUAUGUAGCUUCAUUUAACCGUGUGCGUGUUCGUAAUAUGCGAACC